rnacentral:rRNA from 1 species
CCCGGAUGUUAGCGGCGGUACGGGUGAGUAACACGUGGGUAACCUGCCUGUAAGACUGGGAUAACUCCGGGAAACCGGAGCUAAUACCGGAUAGUUCCUUGAACCGCAUGGUUCAAGGAUGAAAGACGGUUUCGGCUGUCACUUACAGAUGGACCCGCGGCGCAUUAGCUAGUUGGUGGGGUAAUGGCUCACCAAGGCGACGAUGCGUAGCCGACCUGAGAGGGUGAUCGGCCACACUGGGACUGAGACACGGCCCAGACUCCUACGGGAGGCAGCAGUAGGGAAUCUUCCGCAAUGGACGAAAGUCUGACGGAGCAACGCCGCGUGAGUGAUGAAGGUUUUCGGAUCGUAAAGCUCUGUUGUUAGGGAAGAACAAGUGCGAGAGUAACUGCUCGCACCUUGACGGUACCUAACCAGAAAGCCACGGCUAACUACGUGCCAGCAGCCGCGGUAAUACGUAGGUGGCAAGCGUUGUCCGGAAUUAUUGGGCGUAAAGGGCUCGCAGGCGGUUUCUUAAGUCUGAUGUGAAAGCCCCCGGCUCAACCGGGGAGGGUCAUUGGAAACUGGGAAACUUGAGUGCAGAAGAGGAGAGUGGAAUUCCACGUGUAGCGGUGAAAUGCGUAGAGAUGUGGAGGAACACCAGUGGCGAAGGCGACUCUCUGGUCUGUAACUGACGCUGAGGAGCGAAAGCGUGGGGAGCGAACAGGAUUAGAUACCCUGGUAGUCCACGCCGUAAACGAUGAGUGCUAAGUGUUAGGGGGUUUCCGCCCCUUAGUGCUGCAGCUAACGCAUUAAGCACUCCGCCUGGGGAGUACGGUCGCAGACUGAAACUCAAAGGAAUUGACGGGG